GAAAUGCGAUAAUUAAUGUGAAUUGCAGAAUUCAGUGAAUCAUCGAGUCUUUGAACGCACAUUGCGCCCCCUGGUAUUCCGGGGGGCAUGCCUGUCUGAGCGUCAUUGCUGCCCUCAAGCACGGCUUGUGUGUUGGGCUUCCGUCCCUGGCAACGGGGACGGGCCCAAAAGGCAGUGGCGGCACCAUGUCUGGUCCUCGAGCGUAUGGGGCUUUGUCACCCGCUCCCGUAGGUCCAGCUGGCAGCUAGCCUCGCAACCAAUCUUUUUAACCAGGUUGACCUCGGAUCAGGUAGGGAUACCCGCUGAACUUAAGC
rnacentral:misc_RNA from 1 species